AACGCACAUUGCGCCCGCCGGUAUUCCGGCGGGCAUGCCUGUUCGAGCGUCAUUUCACCACUCAAGCCCAGCUUGGUGUUGGGGCACCCGGCCGCCCAGCGGCCCCGGGGCCCCCAAGUCCAUCGGCGGGCUCGUCGGGACCCUGAGCGCAGUAACACGCGGUAAAACGCGCCCUCGCUCGGCGGAUCCAGUCGGGUUCCAGCCGCUAAACCCCCCUAAACUUCUUAGGUUGACCUCGGAUCAGGUAGGAAUACCCGCUGAACUUAA
rnacentral:misc_RNA from 2 species